CACAGCCCUUCUGUGCAGAGCUUAACGGAGACCUUGCACCCGAGAGGGGGGACGCGACUAUAAGAGAACUCCCAGCGCAAGUCAGCCCAGCUGGCAACACAAUCGAAUUGCGGGGACGCUUUAAAGCUCACCAGUACCAACUGUUCGUCUCGGACAGGGCCAGCUCAGCUGCUGGAGGUCACAACCUGGUGGGAUGUUACAAUAAGCAAUCCGCAGCGGCUCAGCCGUCCACAGACUAAGUGGUUGUGGGUAGGUAACCCCUACUUAAGAUAUAGUCGGGCCCUGUGACAGGUCACAGGGGCUUCUGCGUCCGUAGGUGAACCUGCGGAAGGAUCAUUAAUAAAAGGAUACCUUCGGGUAUACCCCAUCCGUGUCUAUCUACUCUUGUUGCUUUGGCAGGCCGUGGUCUCGCACUGUGGGCUCUGCCUGCAUGUGCCUGCCAGAGGACUAAACUCUGAGUUUUAGUGAUGUCUGAGUACUAUAUAAUAGUUAAAACUUUCAACAACGGAUCUCUUGGUUCUGGCAUCGAUGAAGAACGCAGCGAAAUGCGAUAAGUAAUGUGAAUUGCAGAAUUCAGUGAAUCAUCGAAUCUUUGAACGCACAUUGCACCCGGUGGUAUUCCGCCGGGUAUGCCUGUUCGAGCGUCUGUAGAACAACACCAAGACCAAGCUUAUGCUUGAUUUUGAGGUUGCGGCUUCGGCUGCAGCCUUUAAGAGAGGUGGCGGCGUCCGAUGGACUCUAAGCGUAGUAAUUUCUCCUCGCUACAGAGUCUGCCGGCGCAUUUGGUACCCACUCCAAGCCAACCAAACCCCCCAAUUUUAGUUUGACCUCGGAUCAAGUAGGGAUACCCGCUGAACUUAAGCAUAUCAUAAAGCGGAG
rnacentral:rRNA from 1 species